GUCUACGGCCACGCCACCCUGAACAUACCCGAUCCCGUCUGAUCUCGGAAGCUAAGCAGGGUCGGGCUGGUUAGUACUUGCAUGGGAGACCACCUAGGAAGACCAAGUGCUGUAGGUG
rnacentral:rRNA from 1 species